rnacentral:rRNA from 1 species
CGCGGCCUAUCAGCUUGUUGGUGGGGUAACGGCCUACCAAGGCGACGACGGGUAGCCGGCCUGAGAGGGCGACCGGCCACACUGGGACUGAGACACGGCCCAGACUCCUACGGGAGGCAGCAGUGGGGAAUAUUGCGCAAUGGGCGAAAGCCUGACGCAGCGACGCCGCGUGAGGGAUGAAGGCCUUCGGGUUGUAAACCUCUUUCAGCAGGGACGAAGCGAAAGUGACGGUACCUGCAGAAGAAGCACCGGCCAACUACGUGCCAGCAGCCGCGGUAAUACGUAGGGUGCAAGCGUUGUCCGGAAUUAUUGGGCGUAAAGAGCUCGUAGGCGGCCUGUCGCGUCGGCUGUGAAAACCCAGGGCUCAACCCUGGGCCUGCAGUCGAUACGGGCAGGUUAGAGUCCGGCAGGGGAGACUGGAAUUCCUGGUGUAGCGGUGAAAUGCGCAGAUAUCAGGAGGAACACCGGUGGCGAAGGCGGGUCUCUGGGCCGGAACUGACGCUGAGGAGCGAAAGCGUGGGGAGCGAACAGGAUUAGAUACCCUGGUAGUCCACGCCGUAAACGUUGGGCGCUAGGUGUGGGGAACCUUCCACGUUCUCCGUGCCGCAGCUAACGCAUUAAGCGCCCCGCCUGGGGAGUACGG